rnacentral:sRNA from 1 species
UUGGGGCAGGGAAAGGGUGUUGGGAGAGCAGGGGAAUCUCUAAAAUGUGACAGAGACCUGGGGCAGGGGUAAGCCCAGGGUGUCUAGGGUGUGUGUGUUGCGGGGGAGGAUACUCUGAGACUCAUAGCAGUGGAUCCUGAAGUGACCACCUCUGUGGAGUUCAUGCAGGAGGAACAACAAGUUUAGAACUCAUGGAAUGCGGCCCACUUGUUAGCACAAUUACAACAACUGUUGCACCUCAGUUGAGACACUGCCCAGAGGUGUCCUGAGGACGUCGUGCCGUUUUGGAGUUCUGCUCUGCUUGCUGCCCUCACAUCCCUCUUCAUCUAAGAAUCGUCUGAGAACUCUAAGGGGACUUCCAGUCCCUCACUGGACAGUAUCUCUCUUGGCACUAACAAUAAUAAUGCUUGAUCUUUCUCAAGCAUUGCUGCUGGAGCAGAUUAAUGAGUCACUGUUCUAGGAAAGAACUUAGAGAUGUGGAUCGUCAGCUAUGACCAUCACCCUUAGAAAGCUUCUGGGAAUAUAAAAGUUAGUAAAGAUGUUAUUACUACAGGCUUUGAUGUAGAAACUCUUAGGGAACAAUUUGAAGUUCAAACAGACACACUUUCAAUAGUUGAGCUAGGGACCUUCAUGGUCAGGGAACAAGAACAAUGGCAGCGCUGGCUGACGUGACUCUCACUGAGGCUGCACUGGUGAUGAGUGAUUUCUUACACCCAUUUUCCCCCUCGGCUUCCUGAGUUUGAAGAAUUAAUAUAUGCACACCGUACCAUAGACACCCAUUCAUGAUUUCAAUGGACUCCUUCUUAAGUUCUGAGAAGGCUGGGACUGUAAUCAUACAUUUAUUAGAAGUUAUGGCCAUCGUGGGGAUACCUGUGCAAAUGAAGACUGACAAUGACCCAGCAUCUGUCUCCAAUAAAAUGAAAUAAUCUUUUGCAUAACACAAGGCACAUUAUGGAUAUGUCGUACAAUUCUACAGGACAAGCAGUUGUACUUGAAGAGAUGCUUAACAAACUAAAUGGUAUAAAAGAAAACCCCAGAGAGAGAUUCACUGGGGGAGAGACUUUGGUUUAGUUUCUUUUGGAAAAGAAAACGAUGUGAAUCCCUUUCAAAUUGACAAAAAAAAAAAAAAAAAUCAGAUUUGACAUGGGGAGACCCUUGAAUAUCCUGACUGCAGACUUGAAAGAAACCAAGAAAAACAAAACAGGUCUGUCCCUGGCAGCAUUCCCGUUUCACUGCAAGGUGGAUGAACAUCGAUGAACCCCCUUAUAAAAUUUGCUUCGUAUGUGCCAAGAUGCCACUGGGCAAGAAACUACCCUUGCUUCAACUGCCGACAGUAUGCUUUCCAAACUGGACAAACAAGAUACAGGGAAGUCAACUGCUGAGCUCUGCCAAUACGGAGUGGAGCAGACACCAAUGCCAAACAUGUUUGGAAACGGGCCAUUGAAGAGGACAUUGAAGCUACUGGCAAAUGAGUCUGAUGGAGAGAAAUCAGCUGCAGACUACAAACAGCUGUGAGCUCUGAAUUUGCAGAAAGCUGAUUGUGAACCAGUCUGGCCAAUUUGAUUGUUCCCUGUCUCUUCACCUGGGUCAUCGUACCAGCUGCUCCUGAUGAAUGUCCCAUUGCCUGAAUCCCCUUCCAGAGUUUGACUAGCAUUCCAGUCUUCCUGGGCCCUGACAACUGUGCCCCAAGACCAGCAGUAGUUAAGAGCCAACCAUAUAUUACCCCAUAGCUUUAACUGGCUAGAUUAAUCAGGUCAAAAGAGAACUCCCUAGCACAGAGGACAAAAUGACUACCCAUAGUACCCAUGGACAUACCAGAAAAGGUGCCUGUGGAAAAACCCAAUAGGCACAGAUCUAUCAACAGGUAGACUCAUUAGCUGAAAUAGUUCUUCAAUAUGACAAGGCACUUGACCUGCUUUACACAGAACAAGGAGGUAUUACGUGGCUAUAAGAGAAAAAAAAUGUUGUUUCUAUAUGAGCCACUCAGGAAUCAUUAGAAAUAAUCGGGCUGGAGAGAUGGCUCAGCGGUUAAGAGCACCCGACUACUCUUCCAGAGGU